UGACAGUGCUCUUUGGGGCAAGGGAGGAAUGGAACAGAACAGGUCCGUUAUGCCCUGAGAUGAAGCGGGCGGCACGCGCACUACGAUAGAUGGCGAGGGAGCUUGCUGUGAGGGAUGAAGCUGUGUAAUGGGCUUCUGAACGUGGAAUUCCUAGUAAUAACGAUUGAACAAGUUGUUUUGAAUGGGUCCCUGUCCUUUGUACACACCGCCCGUCGCUAUCUAAGAUGACGCAGUGGACAAAGAU
rnacentral:rRNA from 1 species